AACGAACGCUGGCGGCAUGCCUAACACAUGCAAGUCGAACGAGUGCCUUCGGGUGCUAGUGGCGCACGGGUGCGUAAUGCGUGGGAAUCUGCCCUUUGGUUCGGAAUAACAGUUGGAAACGACUGCUAAUACCGGAUGAUGACGAAAGUCCAAAGAUUUAUCGCCAGAGGAUGAGCCCGCGUAGGAUUAGCUAGUUGGUG
rnacentral:rRNA from 1 species